rnacentral:rRNA from 1 species
UGAAUUGACGGGGCCCGCACAAGCGGCGGAGCACGUGGUUAAUUCGAUGCAAACCGAAGAACCUUACCAGGGCUUGACAUCCCCUGACCGCGUAUGAAAGUACGUUUUCACCCUCGGGUGACAGGGAGACAGGUGGUGCAUGGUUGUCGUCAGCUCGUGUCGUGAGAUGUUGGGUUAAGUCCCGCAACGAGCGCAACCCCUACGUUUAGUUGCUAACAGGUGAAGCUGAGCACUCUAGACGAACUGCCGUUGACAAAACGGAGGAAGGUGGGAUGACGUCAAAUCAUCAUGCCCCUUAUGUUCUGGGCUACACACGUGCUACAAUGGCCGGUACAGACGGAGGCGAAGCCGCGAGGCGGAGCAAAUCCGAAAAAGCCGGUCUCAGUUCGGAUUGCAGGCUGCAAUUCGCCUGCAUGAAGUCGGAAUCGCUAGUAAUCGCAGGUCAGCAUACUGCGGUGAAUACGUUCCCGGGCCUU